UUGGAGGGCAAGUCUGGUGCCAGCAGCCGCGGUAAUUCCAGCUCCAAUAGCGUAUAUUAAAGUUGUUGCAGUUAAAAAGCUCGUAGUUGAAUUUCGGGAUUAGUACGUCGGUCGUGCCUUCGGUACGUACUGGUGUUACUGAUUCCUACCUUCUGACGAACCAUCAUGUCAUUAAUUUGGUGUGGCGGGGAAUCAGGACUGUUACUUUGAAAAAAUUAGAGUGUUUAAAGCAAGCUUACGCUUGAAUACAUUAGCAUGGAAUAAUGAAAUAGGACAUCAGAUUCUAUUUUGUUGGUUUCUAGGAUCGAUGUAAUGAUUAAUAGGGAUAGUUGGGGGCAUUAGUAUUCAAUUGUCAGAGGUGAAAUUCUUGGAUUUAUUGAAGACUAACUACUGCGAAAGCAUUUGCCAAGGAUGUUUUCAUUAAUCAAGAACGAAAGUUAGGGGAUCGAAGACGAUCAGAUACCGUCGUAGUCUUAACCAUAAACUAUGCCGACUAGGGAUCGGAUGAUGUUAAUUUUUUAAUGACUCAUUCGGCGCCUUACGGGAAAC
rnacentral:rRNA from 1 species